CAGCGACAUCUUGAGGGUUUUGUUCAACAGCAGGCCGCCGGGAAGCUAACAGCUAAGCUGCUAUAAACAACUAUUGAAAACCCGUCGUUUUUCUUGAACGCAAAAUCGGUUCAUCUCAACUUCUUUACGUCAACGAAGUCAUCUAACGCUAAAGUGAAAACCUACUCUAAUAUUUUACCGCUAGGAAUAUCAUAUAACGCAAAAUAAUCGACUCAAGACGAACUUCCUAACAGACCGGUCGGUUAGCUUAGCUAGCUUCACGUUAGCCAGGCUGCAACGACGCUAAAUUAUCUUACCUUCACAAAAGGAACGUCAGUGUGGUUUUUGUCUUGUCCUCCAAAAGAAGAAAAAUGAGAAGACAGAAUAGAAAAUUGAGAUUAAAAAAUCGUGUUUAAACCUAACAGCUAAAAGGUUCGGCAAUUCUGUUGCAACACGACGGUUCAGACGGUGCGAGCUACGGCGAAGAAAGAAUGCUGACUGUUCCACUACGUAACGCGGAAGCUGCUUUUUGUAAAGGGCCUUCCCAAACGUCAUCAUCCCACCCUGCCUACGUCACCUACGGAAAACUCAUGAACGUUUCACAAUCUUCUCUCAUCAACAGCAUGUCUGGUAUUUUAUCCAGAGGGGUUAUUCUCUAGCAUUUCGUUUGGAGAUGUGCUUGCACCGCCUACAUAAAUCUGUGAACGGUAUACAUUUUUUUGACGGGAUCCACCUCUGAUUUGUGUGAUUGUGUCAGGCACCCUGGUGUCAGGCACUCUGGUCUUGGGAUUUAGCCUGACGGAAACCAUGACGGAAACACUCGAAGGACCAUAUUCGCCAGGGCAUUGAGGAGCUACUAGGGAUUCAGUCUUUUUACUCAAGGAUGCCACAGGAGGGGAAUCAAUGGCUGUUGACACAGGAAUCAAACCAACAGCAGUCUGCCACCCAAAUGGAUAAUGGUUUUUGAUGAGCCUGCUCUGAGUAUAAUUUUGAACCUAUGGUGGCAUGCGUACCUGAUUAAACCCUGUAUUGAGUUUACCUAACAGGCUGAUUUCCCGUUGAUCCUUUCUGUUUCUGCCCACUUGUGUGUGUAGAUUAAAUUGAAUGGCCACAUUUACAUGAACCUCUAGUCCUCAGAGGAUUCCUAAUGGUUUUUAUGACUACUUGACAUUUCAAAAGCUACUGUAAUGGCAAUAUUUCUAUAGCAUUUGCAGUGGAUAUUCAUGGGCCCCACAAGAUGAAUCCUUAUGUGUCUAUGAACAACUGCCCUUUCUUGUAGAACCAUUAGGACAAAAUGUCAAACUAAUUCCCCUUCUGUCAGAGCAGGUUUUCAUAGGCUUGUUAAGGUUUUUUGUCCAGACACUGUAAGAUCUUGAUCUGAUGAGGUUUGCACUUUAUCUUAUUUUGUUUUUCUCAUUCUAUUGUACAGUUAAGUAGAAGGUGUGGGGUGGAACAGUUUCAUACCACAUUUUGUGGAUUGGAUGUAUUAUGGAGAAUACAACUCCCUGUUAUUGUUCACACUUACUUGGGAACAUGAGUCAUUUCCUCCAUCUGCCAGUAAAUGACUACAGAGCAAGACCAGACUGGUGAUGCCUGUUUUCAAGCUUAGGUACACUAUGCCGCACAUUGUGCAAGAUAAGCUGUCAUGAUGCUGAAAAUAAUCCAGAUAAGACCAACAAAAGCAAAGUCCAGAACUCAUUACCUUUUUUAUUGGUUAUGAGUAAUUGUAAAGGCAAUUUUUAAUCUGCAUAGUGAGGGAUAACAAGUUGAAACUGCAUUUCCAAUGUCUUGUUGUGACGUGGUUAAACCUGAAUAGUCAGUGGAUCUGGAACUCUUAGUACUGACAUUGGGUUUGUUGGUAAAACAUCUGUAUGUUUAGUUUUAACUGAUGUGAAAUACACAAUGUACAAAGUACUUGGGACGUCUUUUUUUUUAAUAACUUGUCUAAAUCAGUGAUUUCCAUCCCCUUCUAGCAUUUUGUUCAUUGGCAUCAAACCUCUAGAUGAAGUGAUUGAUAUUGUUGAGGUUUCUAAUGUUUGAAAAUGAAAAGAAUACAUUACCUAAAUCAUUCACAGCUUUGAUGGCCAAAGAACAACAUGGGGCCUGAAAAAACUCAGCUCUCACUACUGCGAGAUCUACCCCCAGAAUGCUUGAGUUAUGACUUCAACUUUUUCCCCACUC